rnacentral:rRNA from 1 species
UACAGAGGGGGCGAGCGUUGUUCGGAAUUACUGGGCGUAAAGGGCGCGUAGGCGGCUUGCUAAGUCAGACGUGAAAUCCCAUGGCUCAACCAUGGAACUGCGUCUGAUACUGGCGAGCUUGAAUCCGGGAGAGGGAUGCGGAAUUCCAGGUGUAGCGGUGAAAUGCGUAGAUAUCUGGAGGAACACCGGUGGCGAAGGCGGCAUCCUGGACCGGCAUUGACGCUGAGGCGCGAAAGCCAGGGGAGCAAACGGG